rnacentral:ncRNA from 1 species
CUUAUCAAGAGUGGUGGAGGGACCGGCCCGACGAUACCACGGCAACCUGCCCAAGGCAAGGUGCCAAAUCCGGCGGAAACGCAAGAUGAGGAAGAU